AUUGAACGCUGGCGGCAUGCUUUACACAUGCAAGUCGAACGGUAACAGGCCGCAAGGUGCUGACGAGUGGCGAACGGGUGAGUAAUGCAUCGGAACGUGCCCAGUCGUGGGGGAUAACGCAGCGAAAGCUGUGCUAAUACCGCAUACGAUCUAUGGAUGAAAGCGGGGGACCGUAAGGCCUCGCGCGAUUGGAGCGGCCGAUGUCAGAUUAGGUAGUUGGUGGGGUAAAGGCUCACCAAGCCAACGAUCUGUAGCUGGUCUGAGAGGACGGCCAGCCACACUGGGACUGAGACACGGCCCAGACUCCUACGGGAGGCAGCAGUGGGGAAUUCUGGACAAUGGGCGCAAGCCUGAUCCAGCAAUGCCGCGUGCAGGAAGAAGGCCUUCGGGUUGUAAACUGCUUUUGUACGGAACGAAACGGCGAGCUCUAAUACAGUUUGCUAAUGACGGUACCGUAAGAAUAAGCACCGGCUAACUACGUGCCAGCCGCCGCAGUAA
rnacentral:rRNA from 1 species